rnacentral:rRNA from 1 species
UACAGAGGUGGCAAGCGUUGUUCGGAAUUACUGGGCGUAAAGAGCGCGCAGGCGGUCGUUCAAGUCGAGUGUGAAAGCCCCCGGCUCAACUGGGGAGGGUCAUUCGAUACUGAUCGACUCGAAGGCAGGAGAGGGUAGUGGAAUUCCCGGUGUAGUGGUGAAAUGCGUAGAUAUCGGGAGGAACACCAGUGGCGAAGGCGACUACCUGGCCUGUUCUUGACGCUGAGGCGCGAAAGCUAGGGGAGCAAACGGG